CCCACCUGACCUCAGCCGGGGGGAAAGAGUCACACUCACAGACUGUUAUUCUAGUCCAAAACAGAACCUUUUAACAUGAGUGGAAGCAAGGUGUGAAGAACUACUAGAAUAUAAACGGACCUUAUCUGAACUGUAUUUAAUAGGAACCAGAAGCAAUGAACUAAGGAUAUUCAACUGAAAUAGUUCAGCUGGAGAUAGCUAAACUUUUUGCUGUGCACAUUUAAAUAUAGAGGGCUGACUUGGAGAUUAGGUAUUUAUCAGCUGCAUGACGGAAUGAGAAAUGGCUGCAACACAUUUCAGGGUGUGCCCACUCUUGACCUGUCAUUAGAGGAUAUCGGAUGAUCCUCCAGGUUGCCAACAUUUCGGUUUUCCUUUACUUCUGCGCUGCUGGUACCUGUCAGUAAACAAACAGAAAACCCACAUUACUGUUGCCAUCAAGGAAUCCAAUGUCAAGCUAGAGCUGGCACAAUAGCAUGAAAAGAGAUUCAGAGAUGUUUUCAUUAAUACGCAUGGCCCAUUCACUAGGCUGAUAUUUGUA